rnacentral:lncRNA from 1 species
CUUCUGAAGAGAAGAAAGGCUUCGGCGGCAUUUCAAGGGUUUCAACAUCUGCUUCUAGCAUUUCUAUAACUUUGCUCAUGGCAGGGCGAGCCGAGGGUCUUACCUGAAUACACCACAAUCCAACAAUGCACAACUUUCGCUCCCCCUCCGAAAUAUCAAAAGUGGUGGUUAUUUCACUUAUUUCAGGUUGGGUUAAUCGAUCGUAUAUCCACGAAGGAGCCUUACGAUGACUACCUCUACCGCCCUCCCUCCUCCUUACGACUGGGAGCUCGUCUCUUAAGUUCGGUUCGGAUAAUAGGAAGUNUGAAUCACGAAUUUCGAGAGUUGGGGGACUUUGGAGUGAUUAUCCCGUAUGAAUAGUGGUUUUUGGAUUAAAGGGUGGAUUUGAGAAUUUUGGAACCAAAAAAAAAAAAAAAACCUAGAUCACCCUUCUCCCUCCCCUUCCGGUCCACCUGAGGAGCUCCGCCGCCGUCGCCAUGCCAGCUGCCGGAGGCUCCCUCCCUCUCUCUCUCUCUCUCUCUCUCUCUCUCUUUCUCAAUUACUGCGUAGUUUCCUAAGUCGUUCAGGUAGGAAGCUCUCUCCCCUUCUUGUUCACCUGCGAUCUCUCUCCUUCGUUUCCACUCGAAGCAGAUUCGAUUGGAAUUUUCCUUUUUUGAAGUAAAUUUUUAAGUACUUUCCGUGUGAUUUUGGGAGAAUUGGAGAAGAAAUGGUGUUGCUGCGUUCCUAUUGAGCUUCUGUGAGUUGAAUUGUCGUCAUGUUUUUCAUUUUAGGUUAAGAGUGUUGUUGAACCUUUGGAGCAGCGAUGAACGCACAAGAACAUGGCAUUGAUGAAUCGGAAGAUGAAGCUGUUGAAGAAGAGGAUUAUUUGGUAGCCUAAUUUCCCAAUUCGACUGUUUUUACCUCUCUCUAUGUUGUUCAAUCAUGUAUUAUGUUGCGCAUAAUUACUCUUUCCUCUCUAUUUGUGCGGCUUGAUUGGCGAAAAUUAUUCGUGUUAUAAUAGUUUUACUGGAAUUUAUGUUUUUUUUUUUAGGCAAUAGAGUUUAUACAUUAUACGGUGUACUAAUGUGACAAGGUUGCUAGGUGUUAGCCCAGGCCAUUUUGAAAAGUUUGGUCCAUGAAAAUUAACCUAACUUGGUUUUAGAAAGUCGCGCUGUUGUUGCAGAGAAUGUCCAUAUAAAAGUGACGCGAUACUCUAAUUUAUCUAUUUGAGGAAUAUUUACACAAAAGUUCCAUUGCAUAAAUGAAUCGGCACCUGUUCAAUUACAACUGUUUGUUGAUAGAUUCUGGUAAUUCUGCUUUUUCUAAGUUUUUGAAUGUAUGCAGCUUGAAUUCUUAAGCCCAGAUUUUACUAGAGAAUGGAUUGCGUCAAUACGGGUAGCCUGUGAAAACAAAUCAAAAUUUACAAGGUUCCAUGGAGAAAUUGGCAAAUACACUAUGCUAUUCGAGACAACUGAUAAUAUAGAGAGCAUGGAGAAUUUGUCCUUGCAUCAUUGAUUUCUAACUUUACGAAAAUUAUCCUAUGCACAUUUCACUUUAUAUAAUAUUUAAGUCCUUACUUUGUUGUAUAAUGUAUUUUCUACUACUUUCUUGACAAAUAUGGAUAUUGCUUGUUUUUGCAGGAUGAUUCUGCUUUUGAUAACGAUACAUGUGGAAUAUGUACAGACAUUGUUGUUGAAAGAGGAGUUAUAGACUGUUGUGAACACUGGUAGAUCUUAUAUUCAUUUAUAUGUGUGCAUGUCAAUUUGCGCCUACACACACAUUCAGUAUUAUAAGUUUCUAAAUUUAUCUGCCAAUGCUUGUCUUAGGUUUUGCUUUACAUGCAUUGACAACUGGGCUGCCAUUACAAACCGCUGCCCACUUUGCAAGAGUGAAUUUCAGUCUAUUACUUGCCUUCCAGUAAGUAACAUUGCAUUGUCAUGAAGAAAUAAUUGUCUAUGCCUAGCCUUAAUUUAGUUCUUCCCUUGGACUUGUCCAAGAGGCAUAUUGGUAUUAUUGCGAGUAAUGAUUCUAACCAACAUAAUCAAUACUGUAUAUCAGUGUCAACAUUUCUCAAAUAAGGUUGAAUUGCGAAAAAGUAAUUCAUUUAGCUGAUCUCUUUGUCUUGGGUGAUUGAGGGCUUAUUUGGCUUGAGUGGAGUUUCUGUGGAAAUUCUAUGUCACUAGAGCUGUUCAGAGAAGUGGUAAUGGCCAAAAUCACUUCAAUAACUUCUUGUUGCAGCAGAAGCAGAAACUCUAACUGUAGCUUAAGCUUGUGGAGCCCAUAGUGCCGGCCACAGCAGAAGCUUCAAACUGUCUAAGAAGCUAGUUCAAUCAGUCACUUUAGUUUCUGAACCUAUUUGCAAAGGCUGACACCCCACGACUAUUCAUGCAAUUUUUAGUCCUUUUGUUAAAGCAUUUGAUGUAAUCUUGCUUGGCUUUCACUCCAUUGGGAACAAUAGUUUUUCCCUAUCCCGUAGCUGCAGCUUCAUAGUUUUUUGCUGAAUGAAGGUGUAUGAGACCACUGGAAGCAUCAAAGCAGAGGAGUAUUCUCUUUCGAGGUAAGACACUGAUUUAUUAUAUUGUUUUCCAGUACAUCAUGGACAAUCUGCUUUACAAUUCAUGGUAUUAAUCUUGAUGAUAUUGUUAUCUUUUAAGCCAUGUCUAUUCCUCUAGGGAUGUUCUUCUAGUAGAAAGUUGUUAUUACCGUAUCACAUUUUCUUGUUGCCUUUAAUUAUCUGUAUCAUUUUCUCAAGUAAAGUAACAUAGUGAUGGUGUGCAUGGAAUAAGAUAAUGGAUUGAUCUUCUUCAUUCUUUCUUCUUUUUUUUUUUUUGGGUCCUCCUGCAGAGAUGUCAAUGAUUGGUAUGUCCAAGGGGAGAGCAACACACUUUCCUUCCCUUCAUACUACAUUGAUGAAGAUGUAAUGAUAUUUUGCAUGUAUUUAUCUUUUCUUCAUUAAAUGCAUUGAUAUUUAUGAAGCUUCUUUCAACAGGCAGUCAUAUGUUUGGAUGGUGGUGGAUGCAAAAUUCGAACUGGACUUUUAACAGCUGAGGAUGAUGUGGCUUUUGAUACAUCAAUUGCUUGUGAUUCAUGCGAUAUAUGGUACUACAUUGAAAAAAGUUGAUAACCAGUGGCUGAUGUUUUCAUUUAUUUGUCUAGAUAUUAGUAUGAACAUCUUUUAAAACAACAGUCAUUUUGUUUGAUUUUUAUUACCACUUAUGUUAUUAGUUCAAUGUUCACUGUCGCUUUCCAUUUCUAUCCUUUUCAUUUUGCAAUGUUCUCUUGUAUUGGUUGGCUAAUUUUAUUCACAUAUUCUUUCUGCUGAAGAUAGGUAUCAUGCUACAUGUGUUGGAUUCAAUUCUGAAUCUGUACAGAAAAAAUCAUGGUUGUGCCCUAGGUAAGAUUAAUAUUUUAUAACUAGUUCUUUAUCUCCUUGAAUACAAUUCUUCCGCUUGAAUUUCUAUCUAUAUUACUUUAUGUAUAAUAUAUAGUUUUUUCUCCUGUACUGUAAUUAUUAGUUUUUCUUUUUCUUCCCCUUUUCUUCUCAUAGGUGUAUACCUGCUGAAGGCCAACAAAAUUUAGAUUCUUUCUUAAAACAGAACCCUGAUGGAAAUUCCAUUGUGACAAUUGAUUCAUCCUUUGCUGGGAAGGUAUCAGUAUCUAUUGCUGAUGAUGGUGAGACAGCUGUCGUUGUCUCAAUGGUUGGAGCACAACAGAAUACAGAAACCAGUAAAAAAUUUCCAUGGGAGAGUCCAUUAGAUUUAAGUACAGGGAAAGGAAUUGAAAGUUCGUCUUAUGACUCAAAUACCGGUAAUGGGGAACUCUUUUAUAAGUCAUCGGAAAUGGGUGAAACCCAAUCAGAUGUACUGAUGGAGAAACCAUUAGAAUUCUCACCUAUAAGGGAGUCUGCCCUAGAGGCGUCUACUUCUGAACCGGAAACUGAUGCACUUAAUGCCUCACUGAGAUUACCAGACAGUGUAGCAUUCUCUUCCUUCUCAGCAAUAGCUGGUGGUUUGGAAACCAAAAAUGAUGUUGUAGACAAUGAAUUUUCUAAAUACAGCCCUAGCAUCAAUUCUCCGAUCAGAGCAUCUGUCGGCACCUUGUCAGGUAACUAAAUACCCUGUGCAUCAUAUAUUUUGGCUGUUGUGCAUGGUUAUUGGCUUUUUAAUGUUACUCAAAAAUUUGUUCCGUCCAACACUAGAUUGGCUUGCUUUAUCUAUUGGUGUUGGUAUCACUGCAGGUGACCAGAAGGUAGGCAUCACCAAUAAGAAUAUGGGUGAUGGUAUGCACCAAGAAGAUACUAAAGUUGAAGAUUUGAUGGAAACUUCAGUGAAUGCUCACUUGUAAGGACCUUUAGCGUAAUGUUUAUUAGAAAUAACAUCCAGCUGUCCUUUUUCUUACUGAGCGAUGGAUUGUUCAUAACAAGAGGAUCUUAAUAAAAUUAAAUAUAGAUUGAGUAGUGGUGCUUAGCGGGUUGUUUAAUUGACAUAUACCUUUUUUAAAUACGUGAGUUUCAAAAUUAGUCAUAGUUCGAAUAUGAUCAAAUAGUCGGUGCUACCUGUGUUGUCAGGAUCUGAAUUGUAUUGAUGAACUAAUUACGGCUCCAGUAGAAUAUGAUACUGGAUACAAUUGUGAAUCCCAUAUACGUUUUGGUAAAUCAUAAAAGAGAGAACUAUGAAUGUCAUGAUGACGCGCAUAUGUCAUGCAUCUUACUAGAGCAACUUUUUAACCUUGCCAUGUAGUCAACUUGGCAACUUAUUGCUGUUUAAGAUGACUUGCUUUUGUUAUAUUAACUUUGUUCGUGGAUCUGUGAGCUUAUGCAUAUACAUGACCUACCAUCACUGAUCUCCUCUUUAAAUUAAUCCACUUCAUGGAGAGACCAUCUUGCAAUAUCUUUGUUACUAUGAGCUUUGUAGUUUUUUGCUUUCUGUUCACAUAUCAUCUUGGUUGAAUCUUUUUUUGCUUUUCUCUUUUAGUGAUGCUGAUAUAGUGAACAGCCACAGCAGAAAAGGAGACUCCCAGACUAGAAUAGAAGCCGACUAUCCUGUAAAGAAAGCAAAAUUAGAUGUAAAAUCUCAAAACUUGUCCUUGGAAAGCCAUUCUACCCCUUCAGCAUUGAAAUGCCAUACUUCUUCCAGAGAUACAGCAAUUGGUGAAGACGAUCAAUCAGAUUAUGUCCCAGAAGAGGGAUCGGUUCCUAGUGAUAUAAUGAGUAUAGUUCAAGGAACACAGCACAGAUUGCACCAUCAUAGAGAUGGGGAGAAGUUUUUGAAUAGAAAUGAAGGAGAUAAAUCUGGGCCUAGAGUGAAAAAGAUCAUGCGAAGAGCAGAAAAAGAAAAUGAAUCAUCCAUCUUGGUUCAAAAACUGCGAAAAGAGAUUAGAGAGGUUGUUGGAGAUACAGCGUUGAAGAGCUCAAAGGAUGAGCCAUUUGACGGAAAGCUUCUUACUGCGUUUAGAGCAGCUAUAGGAAAACCUGAAGUUGUGGAAACAAAGCUCGAUCCUUCACUUCUAAGGGCAAGGAAAUCUUUGCUGAAAAAAGGAAAAGUACGUGAAAAUUUGACAAAGAAAAUAUAUGGAACUUCAACGGGAAGGAGAAAGCAUACAUGGGCCCGUGAAUGGGAAGUCGAGUUCUGGAAGUACCGAUGCUCAAGUGCAAAGCCUGAAAAGAUUGAGACGCUACAGUCAGUUCUUGAACUUCUUAAAAAGUUUUCAAAUUCAUCUGCAGAGAACUUUGAAAUCAAUCAAGAGCCAAAGGGGGGAACUGAGAAUUCCAUCUUAUCCAGAGUGUAUCUAGCUGAUGCAUCAGUUUUCCCAAGAAAGGAUGAUAUAAAGCCUCUCUCUGCUCUUAAUGGGUGCUCAUCAGUGGAGACAAAUAACCAGAAUACCACAAACAAAUCUGAUUGUCUAUCAGAAAAAACUCCAAAAGUAGUUUCUAGGGGAACAUCCAAUGUUAAAGUUUCUUCAUCUGGUAACACAGGUAAAAAGUCAAGUUCAAAUUCACAAAAGGAAGCUAAUCAACCUGAUUGCAAUAAGCGUGACAAAAGGCAAUGGGCGCUUGAGGUUCUUGCCAGAAAGAAUGCUUCCUCAAGUUCAAAUGCAAAUAAGGACAAACCUGAAGAAGGAAGUGAGCUUAAGGAGAAGUAUCCUUUCAUGGUAUGUUUAUGAUAUAAAUUAUCUUCAAAGCUAUAACAAUUUCUACUGUCUUUCUACACAGAUUUUAGGCUGUUACUGAUUCUCUCUCUCUCUCUCUCUCUCUUGUUUUUGUACGUGUAGGCGCAACUUCCAAUUGAUAUGAGACCAAAGCUAGCAAGUAGCCGCCAUAAUAAAGUUCCUGUAACAGUUAGGCGGGUAAGCAUGUUUAACGGUCAUGAUAAGCUAUUGACAUUUCCAAAUAUCUAUUGACAUUCCCAGUCAUAUUUGGAAUUUUGCUUCUUUUUUUUUUCUCUCCUCUUCAAGCAGUAGUAUUCCUUACUCUUUAAGUGAAAAUAUGUUGAGAUUACUUUGGUUGGUUUUCUUGAUUGAGCUAAACCUUUAACUGGGGAAAUUUUGCAAAAUGUAUUAUAAGAAUAUCUUCUCACUCCAACAGCAACAUGUUCUUGCAGGUGUUCUUAAAGUUCAUUCUUUGAUUGAUUUUUUUUUAUCAUGAUAAAGUAUUAAUAGAGCUUCAUUUGUACCAGGCGCAACUUUACCGUAUCACUGAACAUUACUUAAGAAGAACAAAUUCAACAGUCAUUCGUAGAACAGCAGAUACUGAGUUGGCUGUUGCCGAUGCGGUUAAUAUAGAAAAGGAGAUUGUAGAAAGGUCCAACAGCAAGUUGGUUUACAUUAACCUUUGCUCACAGGUCCUCCGCCAACAUCCUAAGCCAGAAGCUGGAUCAGCUGCUUCAUCUUCAGCAGCAACCACUGAGUGUAGUAUUGAUGAGUUGACAAAAGAAACAUCAUUCACGCAUGAAGACACUCCAUGCAGCGAUGAUGUGGAAGAGGCAUUACGAAGGGCAGGCCUUUCUUCUGAUUCCCCUCCAGAUAGCCCGGAAAGAAAAGUGCCAAUUGUUGUUGAAGGAGAUCCUUUAGUAAACGUUAGAGAAGAAUGCCUCGAGAACCCUCAGAAUGCAGAAAAAGCAGCAACUUCUAAUAUUGAAGAAGGCUUUGAAGGAUAUCCUUCAUUAACUGUUAGAGAAGGCGUUGAGAACACUCAGAACCCAGAAGAAACAGCAACUUCUAACAUUGAAGAAGGCUUGAUUGUGAAUCAAGAGGUGAUUAGUGACAUUGUGAAAACAGAUACUAUAGCAAAUUCUCCCUCGAUGCUAAAACCCUCUGAAGUAGAUACAGGUAGGGACAAGGAAAGUGAAGAGCCGAAUGGGCCAGAGAAGGAUCUUUUGGUAAAUAGGACAUCUGAUGAAGCGAAUGUGUCAGAGAAGGAUCCUUUGGUAAAUAAGAUAUCUGAUGAAACUAUUGAACAUUUAAGCAACACCACUAAUAUGGAAGAAGCGGCCAACAACUUGAAUCCUUGUGAAAGUGGGAUGAAUAGGCCAAUGGAUGGUGCUACUGUGUCGGAGUUGGGGAGCAAGAACUGUGCUGAAAAUAAUGUUGCCGAUGAUGAGCCACCUUCUAAUUGCAAAUCAUCCGGAGGAGAGAAUGAAACAAAUUCUCUGAGGAGUAAGAACGAAGCAAGGGAGGCCAAGUCCACGUCCAGCAGUAACAAGUCGGCUAAUUCCACUGAUUCCAUAUUGAAGAAGGUAUACUACAAGUUUGAUUAUUUUGCUGUGCAUUUUAUUCUUUUUUCAAGCCAUAAUCUGGUUUUGAUUGGUCACAGCUGGAAGCAUACGUCAAAGAACACAUCAGGCCGCUGUGCAAAAGCGGUGUAAUUACUGUCGAACAAUAUCGAUGGGCAGUCGGAAAAACAACUGAAAAGGUUAUGAGGUACCAUCAGAAGGACAAAAAUGCAAAUUUCCUCAUCAAGGAGGGUGACAAGGUGAAAAGGCUUGCCGAGCAGUAUGCUGAAGCUGCUGCUCAGCAAAAGGAAGCAUUAUAGCUCCUCUUCAUGGACAUUAAUAGUUCUAGUGAACCAUUUUUCUUCCCUAUCUAUUUUCUUCUAAUUCUGUACAUAUACAACCUUAGAAUGCUCCGUUCUAUCCUUCAUCAAUUUCUUAAACAACUCAGCUAUAAAUAUGUAACCGAUUAUCAGAGGAGGUGUGGAGAGUAGUGUUUUGUGUUGGUCUACCGGCCGUUUGGAAUCAUGUGGCUCAGUAAUUGUUGAGGCAGGACCGGCGUAACUGUGAUUGAAACGUGCACACAAGUGGUUUCUUGUACGUAUUAUCAACUGUUAUGAAUUUACACAAGCUUUUUGUUGCUUUGCUAUUGAAUAUGCUUACCGUGAUGUGCAUCUGCAUUCAUGUAAAUCAUCAUCAUGAUCUUGACUAUCGAGUGGUUUUCAGCUGUUACUAUGCGACUGGCUCUACGGGGAGCAUAUACUGCUCCAGAAUUUGCCGCAUGAUCUACAGGUAUGAGUUUUGAAUCUAUUCUACUUGCUGAAGACUUUCACCUCUAAUUCUAUUUUUAUCUCAGCUUAAAAAGGUAGAAUGUGGGGAAGUUGCAUCUUAAUUUUUUCCGUUCUCCUUUGAUAAUCGUGCAAACGUUUGUCACCGAAUUUUGGCCUCCUUACUAAUGCGUUACUCUAAAGUGAUGUAUGUUUUACCAUAUCCUUACACAUGCGACAAGAUUGAUGUAAAUAAAUUGUUAAGGUCCCAGCCUGUGGGGUCAUAAUUUUGGCUAAAUCGCAUUUCAAAUUUGGUGCCUAGUGUGCAAGGCCAUGUUCACAAACUACUCGUAGCCAAUCUAUUACCUAUUCUAAACGUUUCUCUUUGAAGUUUUGGUCUCAUGCACUUUAUUUUCCAUCCGCUUUUAAACUGAUAUAAUAAGAUCUCCAGAAACUGAACUGGGAUAAAUUAAAAACUUAACCAGCAUCAUAGGUAGUCUUUAAAAGACUAUGAUACAUGACUUAUUAAAUCUACCGAGAUUUCCAGCACUUCUCCCUCAUUCCAUAGUCAGUGAUCUAUUGAUACAAGAAGCAGCGAAGAGCGACUUAGUAACACCAGAAUCAACACUAUAUAUAUUCCCCAGAGAGAGAGAGAGAGAGAGAGAGAGAUAGAGACAUUUAAGGGCCAAUUUUUCAGGUACAAAGAUUUGGUAUGCAAACUCCGCCGUCGAGGUUCAGCGGCUCCUUCCAUAUCCGGCCCGUCACGCGCAGCUUCAGCUCCUUCCUGUCGCCCCCCGAGAAGAAGAGCGCCAUGUUUCUUUGGAUUAUGAGGCCGUCGUGGCUGUCGCGGACUUUCCGGUGGCUGUCGCGGAUGCUGCGCGGAGUGCCUUCCCAUAUCAGCUUCCGGCCGUUCCCCCCCACCUCGAGGCUGUAGGUGAAGUUCCUCGCGUCGUUGUCGUCGCCCAUGAAGCGCAGGAACGCCAUGUACACCGGAGCCAUGCCUAGCUGGAACGCCUCGAAGUGCAGGCAGAAGUAUUGGCCGAAGCAGUUGAAGACCUACAGACAGACAGACAGAAGAAUUGAGAUCAUAAAUUUCGACAACCAUAUGAUGGAAUUGAGAAGAAUUUGCAGGUCUCAGCAGAAGAUAAGAGAUUUAGCGACUCUUAAAAUAACUAUUAACAUUCUAUCAAAUAUAUUUACAACAUACCACUGCGAAAUAAAUUGUUUUACAUAUAAAUCGCUGCAAAUUCUACAUUUUCAAAUAUGCGAUUCAGAAACUUCAUUAUUAUAUAGGCAAAUAGAUAGUUUUGCAUGGACAUAUAUAUAUAUAUAUAUAUAUAUAUAUAUAUAUAUAUCGCAUAGUUCAAGUUUCUGUAACAUCUUCCUCUGUAGUCUGUAUGUACGUUUCAAGUGAGAACAACACACGAAAACUCACACAAUAGGAGCCUCAACUGAAGAGGUAAGCAAACUUACAGUGAGCAUCCAAGUAGCAUUCUCGACCUCCCGCGGGUUUGAUUUCACGUACCGAUGGUUGAAGGUGCAACCCGAGUGCAUGUCCACUUUGUGAUCGUCCCUCAAGUGCGCGACCAAGAAAGGGAUAUCCCCGACAACAGAGCAUUCGGAUCCGGCGUAAGGGCAGUUGUACGGCCUGAAGUUGCACUGGGCCUCGUGUUUGAGCUUGCUGUAGUACGGGAAAAUUUCGGGGCAACCCAAGGAGUAGUACUUGCAUGGGAGUUCGAGCGAUUCCGCCACCUUUUCCAACGCUAGGCAUCGGAUAUCUCCAAGCUCUUGCCUGCACGUAGGGCAGCGGUUGUGCACCCGCAAUUUACAUGUCGAGCAUAGUGUGUGUCCAUUUUGGCACUGCAAAUAUCAUUCACUUGUGAGGUAAUGGUGAUGCGGUGGUGUUCGUAACUUAGUCCCUAAGCUCUCGUAAAGGCGCCAACAUUGUCCCUUUAACUCUUUUCUCUACGACCAACCGCGUGAUCAAAAUUCGAGAGACUUCAUGCACACAAGCCGUGCCUCAUCAGCGAAUUAGUAGUAAGUUAAAGGGAGGAAAAGAAAAUGUAAUUCUCAUCAUUUUCCUGGAUUAUCAAAUGAUAUAUGAUUAGCCACGAUGUGAUUUGCUCAAACAUGAGCAAAUCAUACCCAUUUUUUGAGUUGUUAGAUCAUCAAUUGGAGGCAAAAUGACUUUAUAAAUUAAGAGAAUAGUACGAGCUCACCGUGUUCUAUAAAUUCUCUGCGUGAACAAAGCAUGCGGUGACAUACAAAAUGCAUAUUACAAAUCUGAUAUAUAAGAUCGCGAGAAUAAAAUCCGCGACAAACUAAUUACUAAUGUAACCAUCUAGAACAAGGAUUUAAUAAACAUCUAAUCAUUGGAAUGAUGAGCUCCUGUGCUUGAAAAAUGUAGAAGUAAACAGAUUUUAAAAAAAAAAAAAAAUUAAAAGGAAAAAAGGAAAUGAGGUGUAAAAUGUCAAAUAGAAAUUUCAUCUACAUUCUUGUUAAUUAAUCUAUCCGAAUUCCAUUAGCAAAAAGAGCAAAUUUAGAACCAAAAUUUGUAAGUUUAAUACAGCUAAAAAAACAUAUUAAAAAUUUCCCUUUGAAAAAUGUGAAUCAGACGAAUAAAAAAGGUAAAAUGACCUUGCAACCAAAUAAUCAAAUAAUAUCAAACGAUGGAUCGUUUCAAAUCUUCCUAGGACUAAAUUAUCGCGUAGUUAUGCAUCAAAAUACCACCUCUUUGAUGAACUUUUAAUUCAAUUCAAACCACCAUUCAGGGGUGACAUCAACAAACAACAAAUCAUAACACAGAAACCAAAACCCUCCAAAAUUUUUUAAAAAAAGAACGGGACUUUCACACAUGUCAUUCAUCCAUCUCAAUUGCAAAAAGCUUCAAUUUUUAUUAAAAAGUCAGAUCCUUAGAACACCGGCGUUUAAAUUUUGACUCAGAAGCACCAAAACUCCGCGGUUAAAAAAUAUUAAAAAAAAAAUCCACAAAGGAAUCUACUUGGUCGAUCUGCAUCAAUCAACUUUCAUUUCAAAUAAAAACUCAGAUCCGUACGCCACCAAAGUUUAAAUUUUGACUCAAAAUUAACAAAACCUUAAAAAAAAAAAAAUCAAAAUAAGAGUCGAAACGACCAAUUCAAAAUCAAUCAAUAAAUUAAGUAGAGGGGGGAGGGGGGGGGGGGGGAGAAAAAAAAAAAAAAAAAAAAAAAAAAGAAGAAGGAAAAACCCAAAAGGGGGAUCGAACCUGGUGGAUGGGAGGGUACAUGGAAUUGGUACAAACGGGGCACUCGAGCAACUCGUGCACGCUGGUGGAGCGGGAGAUCCCCUGCGGCGGAGCUCCGCCUCCUCCUCCGGCGCCGUUGGGCUUGGAGAAGGGGCCGUGGGGGUGGUGGUGGUGGUGGUGGUGGUGGUGGAGGAGGAGGGUGGUGGCCUCCCCCUCGUCGAUCGUCGACACGCACUCCACGCUAUCCAACUCCAUUCCCCCGAUCCCCAAUCCCCAAUCCCCAAUCCCCUCAAAACCAAAACGCAACCAAAAUUAAACAAGCUCCUCCUCCCCUGUUCCUCCUAUUCCUCUUCUUCCUCUCCCUCUCGAGCUCGAGAUCGAGCUCGAGCUCCUCCAAUGGAGAGAGGAUCCAAAUUAACACGACGAAGAAAGAGAGAGGGAGAGGGAGAGAGAGAGAGAGAGAGAGAGAGAGAGAGAGGUGGGUUUCGUGGGGCGAUUCGUGAUUGGGCACCUGUAACAGAGCUGAGCCCCAAUUAAUUUUCGACGACCCCCACCACAACGUUUGUGAAUCAAAGGGCUCGCCUUUUCAAUUACCCUGUUUCAUUUCACUCAAAAGUGUCACCUUUUAUUACCCUGUUUAAUUUCACUCAAAAGUGUCACCUUUUACCUAGUUACGAGUUACUUUUGCUUCUCACUUUUGAAUCCUUUGUUAUAAUAUAACAUCAGAAUCCAUGCAUGAUCGGCAUUAUUAUAUAUUUUAUUUUAAAAUCAAAGUUUUAUUAUUUUUUAUAUUAUUUUUUUAAUAUUUAAGUAGUUUCUAAUGAUUAAUAUAAAAAUAAAUUUAAAUUUACUGGAUUUGUAAACAAGUAUUGAUUGUCGAUUCGAAUGCCCUUUAGCUGAAAAUGAUGCGGAAGUAAAUAAUUUACUUUUAUUAAAAUUAUUUUAGCUUAUACGUUAGUUUUAACCCAAAAAAAAAAAAAAAGUUUGUUUCUUAGAGAGGAAAAAAAGCAAUAUUUCAUGGAUCCUAUAGCUAUUUCAUAUUUUAAAUUUUAACCGUCCUAGCGGAACAAAAAAUAUGUGAUUGCACAGAUGAUUUACAAAUAAAAAGAUAUAAAAUGUAUGAUUGCGCAGAUGCUCUAUAUAUAUAUAAUAAUACAAAAUAUUUUUAGAAAUUUAGGUUAUCGAUCGAAUAUUAAACUAAAAAGUUUGAUUACUUAAAGUAAAACUCCACAAAAUAUUUGGGAACUAGAGGUGUUAUUUUCCUUACUAUUUCUUAUUUUUGGACAAAUUAUUGGUAUUCUAAUAAUGAGAAAUCCAGUGGUUCCGCGUCCUAUAAAUAGGCGACUCUGAGCAGGAUUGUAGGACGUCAAGCUCCUAAUUCUCUUAAUAAAAAUAAAAAAGAGUGGUAGUGGUUGUAGUUCCUCUUUUAGAUUAUGCUAUUUUCAGUUGAUCACUAACAUUUUUUAUCGUAGUUGUACAAGAAUACGAGCUAACUUCGUUUACAUUAUUUUUUUUGUGUGUGUGUGUUACCAUCGUUCUGUAUACCACGGUGAACUCCUGAGUUUCGGACAAUAAGCAAGAUUAACAUAGCAACCACUGUACCGGUCAUCCCUAGAGCAAGUGGCAAAGGGCUUGAUGGUUGGUACCCGAGACCUAAGUUCGAAUCCUUAUUGAUUCACAUUUCCAGCUAAAUUUAUUUCUAAAUGAAAUAAACGAAGCGGGUAGCGUGCUAUCUAUCUCUCAAAAAAAUAAAAAAAUAAAAAACAUAGCAACCACUGUAACAAGUGUGGUAAAACUACUGUUACUUUGUAGCUUCACAUUCCAAGCACAAGUUAUUAUUACUGAAACUCUAAGCACUCUUCCGUAGUGCAAAUUUUGCCGUGGAUGAUAGAUAGAAGUUGUUCACGUGCGAUUUUGAGCGAAUGGUUGAUGACAUCGAAAUUGUAUAUAUUUUGUAGUUUUUAGAACCGUGGUAAGUUUCUUAGGCAAUUUGUGUUUUUCUUAUUAAUCUGCUAGUGCGAGGCAGAAGAGUGUAUAUAUGCAAAUUUCUAGCUCCAAAUAUAGGCUUAACUUGCAAUGUGAUUCUCAAAUAAUGCUAUGUAGAACCUCCACUUAAUGUGAUCAUAUCUUUAUUGAAGAGACAAAUGGAGAGAGUCUAUUUGGUGGUGGCUUCAAUUCCUAUACAGUACUUUCAACUCCUUCAGGUUUGAGAUUUUUUUGCGCACACUUAGAAUUCAGAUAAAAGAUAUUGCUCGUGGCGCCAAACGAGGUUAACGGAGAGAAAAAUAAUAAUAAUGACGAUGCGCAUAUAUCUGCACAUAUCUUUUUUUGAGAAAAUAGGUAGCAAGCUACCUGCUUCAUUCAUAAAGCGGGAUGAAUUCAGCGUACAUAGUGGAGACAACUACGGUCUCCGAGAAAGAAAAGGUACAGAAGAAAGAACGAGGUAAUAAAAGAAAGGAAUAAAAAGUAACUAGUAAUAAAUAAGCAGUAAUAAGAGAGGUAAGGAGAGAGAGGUGUAGCAAGGGUGAUGGAGAUCGCUCAAUGAAGUAAGGUCCAGUCACUCAUCAAAAGUUUGACGCGUUCGAAUGAUCGGGUAGCGUUGUGGGAUGUUGCUCGAAAAAUAGUCGAGUUUCUUUCAGUCCAAACUACCCACCAGAUUGCUGCCAGUACAAUCAAGCCUUUAGAUCUCCUCACAGCGUCGGGCGUUUCACAUAAUUUGUUCCAAACCUCCCGGACGUCCCCCAUAACAUCAGCGAUUACAGCCAAUCCUUCAGCAGAUAGUAGUAGGAAACGAACAAAAACGCAGUUGCAGAAAAGAUGGUCGCAGUUUUCCAGUAAUACCGCACAGAAUACACAGUGUUGAUCUAUGGACAUACCUCUAGCGAGCAAUCUGUCAGCAGUGAGAAGUCUCUUUCGAAGUAGCAGCCAGAUGAAGAUUUUGAUCUUAAUUGGAAUUUUUAAACUCCAGAUAUGCUGGUUGAACUGAUCUCUUAUUCCGCCGUCAGUAAGGAUUUGGUAAGUGGAUUUGACCGUGAAUAAUUGGUUGCUGGUCCACCGCCAUUUGGGCAAAUCUGGUCUGUUGUAGGGAUGGCUAUGUUGGAGUAGUUCUUUGAGUAACGCCAACUGCUGACGACUUUGGCCUGAUCGGGACGCCAGAAAACCCCUGGUAAUGAAACGCCACCGCCAUCUGUUUGCGUUCCAACAAAGUGAUACCCCAACGUCCUUGUUCGUGACAUUUGCAUAAAUAUCUGGAAAUAGGGUGCUCAAGGGGGUUUCGCCAAUCCAAAUAUCGGACCAUAACCUUAUGUUUUGUCCAUCGCCUAGCUCAAAAGUUAAACCGCAUUUGAACGCUUCCCGGCACUGAAUCACGCUUCUCCACCACUGCGAACACGGAGUGAAGGAUCUACCCUCAUGAAGAGGCCUUCUUCUGACGUAAUAGAGAGAUCUAAUAAUUUUGCACCAAAGUAGGUGCGGCUCAGUAAAGAGACGCCACCACCAUUUGGUUAGGAGUGCCAAAUUCAUAGAUUUCAUAUCUUUGAUCCCUAACCCACCUUCUUUCUUACUUUUGCAGAUAGAUCUCCAGCUGACUAGGCAUGCUCCUCCCGAAAUGUUGGCAUCUCCCUUCCAGAAAAAAGCUCUUCUAAGAGUUUCUAUCCGGUGCAGUACCCACUGCGGUGCUUUAAAGAUAGAUAAGUAGAAUAAUGGCAGGUUGGUGAGGACCGAAUUGACGAGUGUUAGCCUGCCCCCUUGAGAGAGGAGUUUAGCUUUCCAUCCGUCGAUUCUUGCCACUAUACGAUCAAUGACAGGAGCCCAAUCCGCCCUACGGAGAUUUCUAUUAAAUAGAGGUAACCCCAAGUAGCGAAACGGUAGUUUUCCAGCUUUACAUCCUAGGAUACUGGCGAGUCUGUCAGCCUUGUCCGGAUCAGACCCCAAAUAAUACAAUUCUGAUUUGUCCAUGUUAAUCUUGAGUCCAGAUGCCCAUUCAAAUAUUUUCCAAAUGAACUGUAGGUUUCUCAUGAUGUAUUUCCUUGGCUCAGAAAAAAAGAUUGUGUCAUCCGCAUAUUGAAUUAGUACAGUUUGGCAGUCAGGUGACGGUCCGAUGCCUCGGAGUAAGUUAUUACCCCUUGCGGAUUCAGUUAGCCUGGCUAGGCAAUCAGCCACUAGAAUGAAGAGGUAUGGGGAAAGAGGGUCCCCCUGCCUGAGUCCUUUUGUUGUCUUAAACCACUUAGUCGGUGUGCCGUUAACGAGGAUGGCUACUUUGGCGUUACAGAUACACUGUUCGACCCAAACCCACCACUUGUCAUUGAAUCCUAGCCAGUGCAGUACACUUUUCAAAAAGGCCCAACUGACGUUGUCGUAAGCUUUUUCGAAAUCUACCUUGAUACUUACACAUUCCUUGCCAGAUUUGGAACACCAAUUGACUAGUUCACUUACGGUGACGAAUGAGUCAGUCAGCAGCCUGCCUUUAAGGAAAGCCGAUUGUGUUGAGGAAAUUAUGGACGGCAGGAUAAGAGCGAGCCUGUUGGCGAGGACCUUGGAAAUGAUUUUCUGAAUGCUAUUGAUAAGACUUAUAGGACGGAAGUCGUUAAUCUUGUGCGCUCCUUCUUUUUUGGGAAUUAAGCACACAAAGGAGUAGUCAGAUGGGCCAGUAGAGAGUUUAUUGUCUUGGAGGUCAGUGAAGACGUUGAAGAUAUCAGUUUUAACCGUCUCCCAGAAAGUUUGAAAAAAAGUGAGAGAGAAGCCGUCUGGCCCAGGGGCCUUAUCACUUCCAAGUUGGAAAGUAGCUGUUUUAACCUCCUCAAGAGUGAACGGGGACAUAAGGGAGUCGGCGUUGAGCAGUCUAUUAGAGUGAAAUAGGCUACUCCAAUCUCCGUAAGACGAUGAUCUAGCUGCCCCUUGGCCGAACCGUUGUUUAAAGGAUUGAAAGAUUAAGGAUCUCUUGAGCUCUUCGUUAGUAAUUUGUCUCUCAUUGUCGUCUUCAAUGACCUCAAUCGUGUUGAUACGUUUUCGUCCAUUAGCCACAGCAUGAAAAAACUUAGUGUUGUUGUCCCCUUCCUUUAGCCAUUGUUGUUUUGCUCUGGUUUUCCAGAGUAUUUCUUCCUCAUCCAGGAUUAAAUGAAGCUGUGAUUUAAGGUUAGCUCGUUUGUUCAGUAAUUCCUGAGUAAGGUCCUGUUGUUCUUCUAAAAGAUCGAUUGCGUGGAGCUCAUCCUGCAGUAGCCUCUUCGAGUGAGCAAUACUGUGGAAGUUCGUCUUACACCAUUCCUUUAUUCUAACUCGGCAGUGUCUGAGCUUGGCAGUGAUAGUGAGAAUAGCCGAGUUCUUGGCCGAAAUUUCGUUCCACCAGAUCGGCACUUUAGUGUGAAAAUCGUCUUUAGUUAGCCACACCCGUUCAAAGCGAAACCUCCGUGGUACGAGUUGAGGUCCCGUCGUCAGAACGAUCGGAGUGUGAUCGGAGGUGAUCCUAGGCAAAGCUUUAACCUUGCUAUGAGGAAAAGAUUGGUCCCAUUCCGUUGAAAUGAGAAAUCUGUCAAGCUUCGCCAUUGUGGGGCUAUGUUGCAUAUUCGACCAAGUGAAGCAUUGAUUGGACAGGGGUAAAUCAAUGACCGCUAGCUUGGCUAUGAGGUCGGAGAACAUGGUCAUGGCUUUAGAGCUCCAAUGGUUACCUUUCCGUUCAGAUUGGUUUUUGGUGAAAUUGAAAUCUCCACAAAUAAUCCAGUUGGAAGUGCACACACUCUGUAAAGAUAGGAGUUCGGAGCAAAAUUCAUCUUUUCCAUCCCAAGUAGGAGGCCCGUAAACAUUUGUGAUAUAGAAAUUCUUCCUACUCGAAAGAUAAGUUAGAUGAAGAGUCAGCGAAUGUUUCCUGACAAUAACCUCGGUACACGAGAAAAGUUUUGAGCUCCAGCAUGUAAUUAUACCACCGGAGGCCCCCGAUGCAGGAAUGAAGUGACACCUAUCGAAGCAAGAACCACAACACGAGCGAAGAAAUGAGCGAGAUACAUAGUCCACUUUGGAUUCUUGGAGACAGACGACAGAACGAAAUAGACUAGAGACCACAGACUUGACACAGCGACGCUUAGAAGGGUCGUUGAGACCCCGAACAUUCCAAGAGAGUAUGGUAAACAUCCGAAAAGUAAGCAGCUCUCACAAAAAGACUUCAAACACACCAAGGGUGUCCGAACUCUAGACCUUCCCGCAAAGGAAGUCAUUGAAGUCCUUAGCGUCCGCAUCGGAAAGGUUCACGCCGCAGAGGAGGCUCUUCGCUUUGACUUUCUUCCUUGUCCAUUUGCGUGUGGUGGCCCCAGGUCCCACCAUCUCGUCCCCUAGUAGGCGCGCUUUCCUGUGCAUGGCUUUACGUAAAGCAGAGCUGGGCGGUUGGUUGAGGAGCCGUGCACUCGAUCUUAGCGGAAUCGGGGUGAUGCUAUCGUCGCAAGGUGAGGGCCCAGAGGGGGUAGUCGCCUUAACUACAGCGAGGGGGCAGCCUCCCGAGAUGAUGCCAGUCGUGACUUCGCCUCCUCCAACCGGUGAGGCGCGUGAGGACAGCUUGCCGGAGCUGCCACCGAUCGUGACAUCGUCUCCGUGUCCAGCCUGAGAGGUGACCGUAGGAGGCGCUCCGGUCAUGAGAGUGGCCGGCGCAGACUGAACAGCAUCAGAGUGGGCGAAGAGGUUGAGGCCCGGCCCGAGAAGAGGAGGCGGAGCAUUAGAUGUAGCGGUACAUGGGUCGCGGGGGUAUAGGUCGUCCAAAACCAGCUUGUGCCAAGUUGGGUUCAGGAUAGUGGAGGGCCCAAAGUAGGUUGAGUUUAGGUUAUCGAGGGGCCCGAACCCACAUAGGCUGACGGAGGUUGAGGUCGGGCUAUCAACAGACCUCAGCCAACGGUGGCAAGCACAAGCCGAACCCACAUCACCAAGAAGGAAGGGGUUGUGAUGGUCGACAGAGCCCAGCCCGAUGCAGAUUGGAUCCAGGAUUGUAGCGGGCCCGAAGCAGGUUAAGUUUUGGCUUUCAAGUGGGCCGAACCCACCAAGGUUGGAGGGGAACUGGUUCGGGCUUGCGACAGCCCCUAGUCCGAAAGAUCUGACGGGUCCCAAGUGGUCCGGGUAGAACCUGCCCCACCCAAAAGAAGCCAGAGGGGGCCCGAAUCCAUUCCUAGUAGAAGGUACGAAGAGAGAGAGGGUGUCAGACCCAAUCCCAAGCAGCACAGUAACCAGCUCAAAAGUGUUUCUUGGGGGCUUCGAGAAGGGUGGGAGGAGUUCAAAGUAGAAAAGGCCACGGUUCCCAAGAAGGAUGCAAAUCCCCCCAAAUCCUCUGUGAUCAAAAACCACCAGUUGAGACCCCUGAGCUAACGCCAGUAAGCUUCCCAUCUUGAGAAGGAAGGCAUUAAUGGUGACAGAGUUGCAAGCAGCACUCGGGCGACGGGAAAGCUGGAGAGAGCCACCUGGCGCACCGUCCUUUCGACAACCCUUGGUCACAGGGAACAUAGGAAUGGAAAGUCCAGCAGGAGUUGGAUUUGAAUUUGAAAUCAGGACUGCACCGCCGCCCGAGAUGAUGCCGGUCGUGACGUCGCAUCCUCCGGCCGUUGAGGCGCGCGAGGGCUGCUUGCUCGAGAUGACCACGAUCGAGGCGUGGCCUCCAUCACCCGCCUGUGAGGUGACCGUAGCAGGCACGCCGAUCGAGGGGUGGGCCGGUGACGGCUGAGCAGUUUCAGAGCGGGCGAAGGGGACUCGCCGUCGCCAGUUGUCCGUCGGACGGGCAGCACAUUGUCGAUCCCGGAUUUCGGAGGAAUUCCAUGAGGCGUCCGAGUUAGAGUCGGCACAGUCCGACGAACGUCUCCCUCUGGCCGUUCCAGCAGUGUGGCGAUCAACAUCUGAAGACCUCUCCGGUAUGUGCUGAUCCGUACGCUUGUUGUUUGGAUUUUCCCCUCCGUCAUCAUCGGCACGAGCCCAUCUUUCCAGCUGGAUUAGCACCGACAUCGACAAGUCUCCAAACGUGAUCUCCAGAUUUACGGGGAUGUCGGAGAGGUGAUUCACGGCGAUGAGGCAUCGGUAUCCCGAGAGAUCCGCCAUUCGUGCGCUGAAAUCGUCCGGCCUAAUAAAUCGACUGAAACCACCUACGAGGGCUGCCACCGUUCGCGAAGACCAGCACUCGUAGGGGAGGCUUACGAGUCGAAUCCAGGCCUUGUAAGUGAGCGGCGGCCGACGGGCACCCCGAUAGGGGUUCCAAGGAAAACAGCGCAGUCGAAAAUCCCCCAGGCUGAGAACAUCCCUACUGAUGAGGCGGUUGGACUGCACCCAUUCCGGUAGGAAUACAACAUAGUCUCUCUCACUGUAGCAGGCGACUUGGAAGUCGUUUGGAUACCCUCCAAAACGGCUUGCGAGCCCGUUGGCAAUAGUAUCCUGGGGGAAGUGCCCAAGGUUCGCAGGUGGGAUCACCUCGACGAGGAUGGCGUUGCGGCGACGGUUUAGACGGGCGACGAAGUCGUCGGAGAGAGGAACAAAGGCGCUGAGAUAAGCGGGGCGUGCACGCAUUAAUCUGUAAACGUGCCGCGGCAAACGAUGCAUGCAGGAUUUCGCGAAGUGACCAGACUUGAAGCACUUAGUGCAACGGAUGGGGUCUCGGCAGUGGGAAGCCCUAUGGUCUCUUCCAAGACACCGAAAACAACGACCUUUGAAGGAGAAGUUGCCAAAGCUGGAGGACUUCGGGUGAAUGUGGGAACGAGACAGAGGAGUUGAAGCAGGGGUCAAUAGGGCCUCCCUGUACGUCUUUUUAAAGUGGGGGUUAGAGUGAAUGUCUUUCCUGUGAGAGGCUUCAGUCCAAGGCUUGUCUUCAACACGUGGUUGGUAGGGAGUUAAAGACCCAGGCUUGAAGUGAGAAGUUGUGCGGCUGAAGUAGGUGGUCCUAGUUAAUGCGGAGCCGACGUUGUCUGCCCAAGUCACUCUCUUGGAGGAGGAGCAAGCUACGUUGGCCACAUCAACUCCGACAUCGGCGUUUCGACGGCAAGAAGUAGCCUUCCGAACGCCAUUCCCGUCUAGCGGCGUCUCCUUCGCCAAGUAGCCACAGUCCGCGGGAUCCACCACCUUCGUUAAGCUUCCCUGCAGCACUGGUCGCUCACCCACGAUCUCCUUUCCUUUUCCUUUCUUCAGCGCCAGUUGCUCACACACGAUCUCCUUUCCUUUUCCUUUUCCAUUUCUAGGACCCAUUUCCCAUUUUUAGCACAUUUUGAUGUUCAUCAUAUCUCAAAGCACUCUCUCUGUCUCUCAUGGAUCUGCAUGGAUCUGAUGGCCAAAAAAUUUCUAGCACCAUGGGCUUGUUGCCUUUAGGAACCUUUCCUAGCUCCUAUCUAUCUAUCUAUCUAUCUAUCUAUCUAUCUGUCUGUCUAUCUAUCUGGUUGUCUGUCUAUUUUUAUUUUUGCUGAAUAAAUUUUUGUUCAAUUUUUCAUCACUCAUCUUCGGAGAUGGCAGGGAGCUCUGAAGAAGAACCCAAGCAACUUAUGCUAAUGGCAGGGAUCGGCUCUUCUGAAGAGAAGAAAGGCUUCGGCGGCAUUUCAAGGGUUCCAACAUCUGCUUCUAGCAUUUCUAUAACUUUGCUCAUGGCAGGCCGAGCCGAUGGUCUUACCUGAAUACACCACAAUCCAACAAUGCACAACUUUCGCUCCCCCUCGGAAAUAUCAAAAGUGGUGCUUAUUUCACUUAUUUCAGGUUGGGUUAAUCGAUCGUAUAUCCAUGAAGGAUAAUAGGCCUGGCUUGAAUUCUCAGCUCGAGGGUCAGCAUUCCUCCUUCCUCCUGCCAUCUCCAUCAGUAGCAUUCCAAAGCUGUAGACGUCAGACUUGUGAGAUAUGAUCCCGAAGCUCCUGGAAAUCAAUUCAGGUGCUAUGUAUCCUGUUGUUCCUCUAGUAGUACUCAUCGACACGAGGCUGGUGUCCUUUGGAUACAAUUUUGCUAGUCCAAAAUCCGCAACCUUUGGAGUGAAGUUACGGUCUAAGAGGAUAUUCUGUGGCUUGAUGUCGAAGUGCAAAAUCCUCUUAUCGCAUCCCUGGUGCAAGUAGUUGAUGCCACGGGCGAUUCCCAAGGCUAUGUCAUUGAGUUUGUCCCAUGUGAAUGCUCGUCGACCAGCGACUCCAUUGGAAGUGAAGAUAUGCUUGUCGAGCGAGCCUUGAGGCAUGUACUCAUAGACGAGGGCUCUCUUCGAUCCCUCGGAGCAGAACCCGAUGAGCUUUAUCACAUUGACGUGGUGGAUCCUACCGAUGGUAGAGACCUCGUUGAUGAACUCUUCCCCAUUGCAUCUAGAAUUGCUUAACAACAUCUUCACUGCCACAAGAACGCCGCCGGGGAGAACACCUUUGGAUACAGAACCAAAUCCUCCUUGGCCGAGCUUUUCUCUGAAGUGGCUCGUGAUCGCAAUGAGGUCGGUAUAUGCGUACCUCCUCGGCACGAGCGCCCUCUGGUUUCGUAGGAACUUCUCGACGGCGUCCACUGAUUUCUUUUCUCUCCACAACUUGUGCGCCAAGAAGAGGAAUAUUGCCAAUGGCGCAAUAACAAAUCUGCCGAGAAUUGAGAGACCUGCAUUUAGAUCUCAUGGAUGAGAAUUAGAGUGACAACAAAGUGCAGUGUAAAUUUGUGUAGUGGGAUAAAGGAAGGGGUAGUUUUAUUUACCUGUCAAACCAAGUAGAAUACACCCUACUGCCCACAAGCGAGCUUGAACCCAUUGUGAAGGGGGAUUGUAAUUGUUCCACAUACAUGCUAUCAAAGUCUCUUCACUGUGAGCAAAGGAGAAUCUCAGAGAGAGAAUCCCAGCUCCGUAUGUAUUCUUCCAUAAGCUCCUGCAUAACAAUAUUCCGGAAAACAAAUUAGGCACAUUGGUGAGAAUUGAGAAGUAAUAGAUCGAGUACAUUUUCUGUUGUUCAUAAAUAUGCUUUUUAAUCACAAACUGAAACAUUAUUUUCUUUUGUGGGAGGCCUAGCUAGUUGCCUUACUAAUGAAGCUAAGCUCAUCUUCCUAUUAAAUUAUAGAAAUUUCUAGCGCGCUCUCUCUCUCUCUCUCUCUCUCUCUCUCUCUCUCAUAUGGUGGACAAAUUAGAAAAAUUUUAAUUUAUCUUGUAAAUGAUAAGCUCAACAAUAUAUAUUAAAUUAAAAUUUAAAAUUUUCAGUUUAUUUCAUGAAUCUAGUAAGUAAGCAAAAAUUUUAAAAAAUUUGUGAAAAUUUUCAAAAAUUAGAUAAGAAAAUUUAAAAGGAGAAUAUGAAGGAUUUUUUUUUUCUAAAAAAGGAAGCUGAGGAAGAAAAGAGCGGAUGGAAUUUUUUUAGAAAGUAGAAAACAAGAGAAAGAAAAGAAGAUAUUAUAAAGGCAUCAAAACAAUAAAUGCCAAAUUUUAUUUUUUUUAUUACUCAUUUCUUGAAAAAGUACAUUUUAUAUAGAAAAAGUUUAUAGAAACUUUCUAAUAUUAAAAAAAGCCCUACAUCAUAUCCUUAAUUUAUAUGAACUUAUUUCAUAUAAAAUUUCAUAUAAAAUUUCUAAAAAUUUGAAAAAAAAAAACUUUGAAACAAAUUAAUAAAUAAUAAUUUCGAAAAUCAGAAAGAAUUUAAAAUCUAUACGACACAAUUAAAACUAAUAAAAUAAAGCGACUCACAUAUCUAACUCAAUCCGAUUAUGAUUCUGCAUCACUCACACACUCUUUUUCUCGAUGUGUAUGGACAUCUAUGCAUGCGACAAUUUGCGUGUGGAUGAACUUGCAUGGUAUCUCUCAACUUACGUUGCAGCUUCUUUUACACAAUCACGAAUGGCUUGAGACAUCGGAAGACUUGCGUAAAUCGGAACAGAAAAUCCAAGCUUCAGGAGCUGAAAGACAUCUGUUGUGGGAUGCUCCGGCGCGACAAUGUUUUCANCAUAAUCAGACGUAAUCGGAGUCAUAGCUACAAAGCUACAGAAAGGCUCCGCGUAGUCCAGCUGAAGCGCGCCCUUUGAAAGUAUAACGUACACAAAUGCAUCGGUCUUGCUCAAACAAGGAACAAAGUUGUAUAUAUUGUUUUUGAUUGUUCUUGUACAGCUCACGAAGGUAGCCCACGUAAAAUCAUUUGCAUUGAAUCCUAUGUUCUCGACGGCGGAGCGGGAAAGAGACUGCAAGGGAAGACUGCAGCUGCCGUUAGCCAAGUUGGCAUCGACAACUGUGAAAUCGUCAUCAGUGAUAUCGGGAACGUAGUAGUACGUCCCAGGUCGGUGGAUAUCCCAGACAGUCUUGUUACCAUCCUCGCAGGCAAGCUGGUACCGAGGAUCACCGCAUUCGGGGGGGUCGCUUUCCGAGCGGAACGGAUAAUGGAUGCCUUGCAGAGAUCCGCAGGAGAAAGGAGAGCACCUUGGUUGCUUCUUAUAAUACAACGAUUCCGCAGAAGCUAAUACGCUAAUAUCGAAUAGCAGAAGGUAUGUGAGUGGUGUGGUGCUGAAAAGAGGAUGUGCCGAAGCCUUCCUCACCAUGGUAGCUGCUUAAUUUCAUGUCAAAUGGUUGUUAGCCAUUUGUGAAGGUGUAUGUGGGAGCUCUUCGGAAGUUUAUGUACUCUUCUUCUUCUUUUUUUUUUUUUUUUUCUCUUUUGACAGAUAUAUAGAUAACACGCUACCUGCUUCGUUUAUGUACUCUUCUUUUACUUUUCAAUAUUUUGAAAACCAACCAAUCGAUAAGCUCCUCUCGUCUCGCCGCCUGACUUGUAGAGAAGAAAAAGCUGCAGAUUGCUAUGUGAUUGUAGCUCCAUAGACCUGGACUCUUAUAGUCUAGGUCAAAAAAAAAAAAAAAGAAGAAAAAAAGAGAGAGACGCGCUUGUGUCGCAAAUAAUCAAAGGUAUUAAAAGGACGGUUGUUCAAUUUAUCUUUUUUUUUCUCUUUUGAAAAAAGUAAAGUCAGCCCAAAAGGGUAGACCGAGAUGUUAAUAUUGAAAGUUUAAAACAGAGUUCAAAAUUUUAGACUAUCAAUAUUUACAAAGUAGCGUCUGAAUUCAAAGACGGAAAAAUUCAGACUAUCACGUGAAAGGCGAGAGGUCGACAUCGGCAAUUAGCUUGCGAAUACAACUAGCGGUGGAGAGGGCAGUAGAGCUAGUGUUGUCAAAGAUACGAUGAUUCCACUCAGACCAGAUGGACCAAGCGAAACAGCUGAAGACAGUGUUUCCAAUCUUUUGACUGUGCAUAGAUAAGAGAGAUGACCAAUCUGCCCAAGAAUCACCAAGUCCAAAAAUUGAUGGUUGCGGCAGACAAAGAGGUAGAUUGAGGGAUGCCCACACUGUUAUGGAGUAGGGGCAUUGGAGGAACAAGUAUAUAAUAUCUUCACCAGCAUUGAGGCAAAGCUCACCUCUAGAGGCCAGAAUCCAACCACGACGCCGGAGGUUGUCAAGAGUUAAAAUUCGGUCUUUAAACAGAAGCCACAUAAAUAACUGCACCCGAGGAGGCGCAGAAGAGUACCAAACUGUGUUCGAGAUUGAGUCGGAUGUGGAACCAGCUAGCAAAGAACAACUUGUAGACUGAUGCAGUGGAGAAGGUGCCAUUGGGAUUCCAUUUCCAAUAGUAAAAGUCGGGAUCAGAGCAAAUUUCAAAAUCACAUAACCUGCGGCAAAGUACAGAAAACUCCUGGUGCACGAUGAUGGAGGGAUAAGAGAUAAUCCGUAAUGAGACUAAAUUACCAAUAAAUGCCUUGGACACGAGAACGAAUUUGUGAACCGAGAAGGAGAAGGAGAAUCGAGCCGAAAAUUGAUCCAUAAGGGGCGCACCAAUAUAAGGUGAUAACCAGAAAAAUGUCUUCUGCCACUAUUAUAUACAACAAAAGAGUGAAACGAGGAUGGCACGGUCCGACAAUAUGUGUUUUUUGCCACUUGGAGGCUGAAUCUCUGGAACACAUUAUGUUUCGUUGCAUUUAUGCAAGCUCAGUGUGGAGUUGGUUGAUGACUACAACCUCAAUCGACCGGGUUUGGAGAAGCAGCACGGCGGAAAGAUUUGCAGCACGAUGGAGAAGAAUGAGGAGGUCGGUUCCACACGAAAAUUUAAUCUACAUCGAUCUUGGCUUUGCAGCGACAUGUUGGGAAAUUUGGAAAGAGAGAAACAGAAGAAUCUUCGACAAUCGGCAAGUUCGAUACGAUAUCCUGGGAAGAACCAUUCUCGAUACUGUAUCCUUUUGGAAAUCGGUCUUAGUUAGCUCAAGUGAUUAGGUACAUUCACACUGUUUUGUUAGUGGGUCGAUGUGUUCUUUACUUCUUCCUUUUCGAUGGGGAUGUGCUUUAUAUUGUUACUCUGUACUUCCUGUUCUAAUCCCAGCUAUAAAAUAGGGUUUAUUCCUAUUUAAUAAAAAAAAAGAGUGAAAUUCUAAAGAUAGUUUGAAUGAAGCAGGUAGCAUGCUAUCUUUUUCUCAAAAAAAAAAGAAGAAAUUCUAAAGAUAGAAUAUGUCAACAAAAAUGUCUUGAUUUCAAUGAUGAAAAAGGCCAUGUGGUAAUUUAGCUUUUUGUUAUAUAUAUAAGGCACACUACAUGUUUAUCUAAUACAAUAUAGCAGAUGUUUGUUACAAUGAACCUUUUAACUCUAUCUUGAUUUCCACGUUAUGUCAAUCCAUUGUGUAAUACUCCCUUCAAUAAGCCUUCAUUUUUUCCUCCUACACUUCAUUAGGAACUUCGCUAGCAUCAUAUCCUAAUGAGGGGACAAAUGGUUUUGGGGGCAUUUCCAAGUCCUGCAAACUCCCCAUCAGCAUCUGCACCGUCCUCGACAUGGUCGGGCGAUUCACCGGAUUCCAUUGUACGCACCAUAAUGCAACAAUCGCGAGUUUCUUCGCUAUCUCUUCUUCACUUGCGGUCAUUUCUAUAUCCAAUUCUAAUUCUUGCCUGCUGACUAACUGCUCGUAAACCAACUCCGGGAAGUAAGCCUCACCUUGGUUUUCAAUCUCUGGAUCAGCAAUCUUCUUUCCGCUUACCAAUUCUAGCGUCAGCAUUCCGAAGCUGUAAACAUCAGACUUAUACGACACCGUUCCGAAGUUUCUAGAAUAUAUCUCUGGUGCAAUGUAGCCCAUUGUCCCUCUAGCUGCUGUCAUUGUAACAAUGCUUUGAUCCCUUGAACACAGCUUUGCGAGGCCGAAGUCGGAGAUCUUGGGAUUGUAAUGAUGAUCCAACAAAAUAUUAUGCGGUUUGAUGUCGAAGUGCAGAAUGCGGUGGUCGCAUCCCUGGUGCAAAUACUCUAUCCCGCGAGCAAUUCCUAUUGCUAUCUCCUGCAACUUGUCCAUCCUAAAUGGUUCUUGAUGGCUCGUAGAACCGUGCGAGAAGAUGUACUUCUCUAGGGACUCAUUCGGCAAGAACUCGUAGAUUAGCGCGCGCCUCGAUCCGUCAGAGCAGAAUCCUAGCAGGCGAACCACAUUGACAUGGUGAAUCCUUCCGAUGGUUGCGACUUCGUUGAUGAACUCUUCGCCCUCGCCCUUCGAUCUCUCGAGCAUCUUAACUGCCACAGGGACUCCGUUUGGCAACACACCUUUGUACACACUUCCGAAACCGCCCUGCCCCAGUUGGACUUUGAACCGCCGAGUCAUCUUCUUAAGUUGCAAGAAAGUGUAUCGAGUCGGUUUUGUGUCGCUAUAUGUUGCGAGGAACUUUUCGACUUUGAUGCGCGUUUCUUUUUCCUUCUCGGAUUUUCUGAAAAUGUAGAGUGUAAUGACUGCUACCAGCAGUAUAACAAAUGCAGCUGCAGAUGUUCCUGAACACAUUAAGCAGCUGAGUGAGUAUUUAGUGUAUGUAUACCGAACAGAUGUGACAUAAACUAUCAUUCCAAGAUUCUUGAGAAGAAAAGAAACUUGAAUAUAUUGAGAGUUGAGACAUGAAGAUCCAUCUCUAAUAUGUUCAAAUAAGUUCAUAUCAAACAUUGCAUCGAGUUGAAAUGAAAAUCACCUGUAGUGAGCUUGACGAUUUUUUCACCUGCAAAAUCAAGAGCAAACUAUUUAGAGAAUCUACUGGUUGUAAUUCCAAAUUUGCUUUGGUCGUGUUAUAGAUCUGUGCAUUAUUCAUCACUGAUUUGAUCAGAUUUUCAAAAAACUAGCUUGCUUUGCGGAAAGAAUGAUUGCAACUUGGGGAAAUCAAAUUUCCACCAAAUUAAACAUCCAUCUCAUCAAGUUUGGAUCAUCCAUUCGCACAAAUAGUAGAAUAAAAGGGUUUCAGAAGAAUGCUUUUUUGGCUAAAAAAACUUUGAAAACUCCGAUAGGCACUUAAAUCCUCGACUAGAUGAUCUUGUUGUAUUUUGUGCUCAUGCUCUAGAUGGGCAUAACUCAAUGGUGCUAAUAGCUUUUUCCGAAAUGUUCAAUCGCUUGCAGAAGUAAGUGCAGAUGUCUGUUUUUCUCUAGUGAUCAGACGAAUUUACAUAAUUAUUCUGUAAGAAUUAAGAGUCAGAAAGUUGGAGCAUUACUGUGAUGCCUGCAGAAAGCUGUGUUCCUACUGAUACUAAAAUAACAAGUCUUCCCUGCUGCUUCACAGUCUUUGCAUACAUCAGUAAUCUCAGGAACAGACCAGCUGAGGGUGAUCUCACGUCGCACGACGAGAUCGUUAACAAUUUCUUCCAAGGAGAGUCCUUGUGCACCCUGAUAGUCCUUAGCAGGAAUUCUCAGAACCUUUGAGGUCACCAUGCAGUAUGAAGGGAUUGUGUCCAUGUAUUCUUGCGCACCAAACACGUAAACAAACCGAUCAUGUCCACUUCUGAGGCAGGAGGUUGGUAACGUUGUAUUUUGUGGGAAGAGGUUUCUUGAGCAGCUUACUAAGAUGACAUUCACAAUCUCAUAAGGCUUGUAUAUGGGAGUCCUCAGGUCAAUGGAUCUUCGGUUCCAAAGCGGACACGGCGCCGACGUGUCGGGGAGCUUGACAGUGAUCGCAGCGAGGCGGUAGUCGAUUGCAGUAACAUUGUAGGAGCCGAGAUUUGGGAGUGUUAGGAUUGUGGUGUUGCCGGAACACGAGAGUUCCAUUCCAGGUGCACCACAGAAUGGAGGGCUUAAUUCUUGCCGAAAAGGGAAUCGAAUCUCAGGCCCGCCUUCGCCACCGCAUGUUGAGGGUGGGCAGCUCUUGCUAAACUCUUCUAUCUCCUUUUUUUCUUCUUUGCUGCCUGCUGCUGCAUUCUUUUCAGAUUGAAGGAAAAGAAGGACGAUUACGACGAGAAGCCUAAGCAUUGUGUGUUGGAAAGGCUUGAACAGAGGAGGAGAGAGUUGCAAUUCAAUCUGAAUGAUAAGAUAAAGUCAUGUCAUGUGGCCUCUAAAUCUGCAGAGACUUAUUAGACAAGUCAAUAGUUGGAUCUCUAUCAUAGAGAAUAGUUGAAUGAAGACUCUGACUAGUUGGAGCGGGUCAAAGUCAAUAGUUGGCUCUCUAUCAUAGAGCUGCUAAGGAGAGGGUCACAGACGAACACUCUCGAGCCUCAAAUUCUUGGAGCGGCCAUCUGGUGGGUGAUUUGGUGCGAAAAAAAUAACGUUAUUUUUCGAAACAUACCCAUGAAUACUAUCUCUACUGCUCACCAUAUUCGAGGUCUGGCGAAAGGGUGGACCGAUUUUUGCAGAGUAGGAUGACGUUGGUUUUGCUACUCCUUUUGGUUUGGACAAAUGUUUUUGCUUCUUCUUUUUUGCUCUUUUUUUUUUUAACCUCUUUCUUCUACGUUUUGUUUUUCUGAGGUCCUAGUUGUCUCACCCUAUGUAGCUAAGUUUAUUUACCUAAUGAAUAAAGCAGGUAGCGUGCUAUCUUUCUCUCAAAAAAAAAAAAAAGAAAAAAAAAGAAAAAAAAAGAAGACCUUGACUAGUUGUGGCUUGUUGCUUGGUUUUUUGUCAGUCUUUUCGCUCCAGUGGACUUCAGCAGAUGCCCAAUUCCACUUAUGUCUGCCUCAAAUUAAAGUUGUCCAAGAUAAUAGGGCAAAGAAAUGGAAUUUUCUAAUUUUUCACCUUUCUUUUCAAUUUAAAUUUUGUUAUACAACUUUGCUCUUCUGAACAGAAGAUGUUUGAAAAUUUUUGCACUUUUUGGAGUUCAAAUUAGACACGAUUCAAGUCUGGCUGCUUGACUUCAUAUGGAUGCUGAUUCCUUCAUAAUUAAUAGAUAGUCUAUAUAUUGCUGGGUGUGUAAAAUUUAUGAUGAUGAUAGCUUCACAUACAUCUAUAGUACAUGGAUGCUGUUGCAAGCUGUGUCCAGAGGAGUGCGAAUUGCAUGAAGGGACUAUUUAGGGUGUAACAGUACACAUCGUACACCAAAAUUAUGGAGUUGUUUGGUCUUUCUUCUGAAAAGUGAUUCUGAACCCGAAAAUAAUUUUAAGCUUAAUAGAGUGUUUGGCAACAAGUGCUGAAAAAUCUGAUUCUGCUUUUCAAAAUUAAAAAACUGAUUUUCAAUGCCCCAGAAUUAGAAACAGAAAAAAAGCUAUUUCUUGAAAUUUGAUUCUCAUUUUGGACUCAAACUUUAAAAUUUUAUUUUAAUUUUAGAUUCAAAGUUUAAAUUUAAAUUUAAUUCUAAUUUUUUAUUUUAAAUUCAUAUUUGAAUUUUUAAAUAUCAACAUUUCAAAUCUAAAAUUUAAAAUUUAGAUUUUAAACUUUAAAUUUAUAUUUUAAAUUUUAAAUUUCAAAUCUCAAAUGUCAAAAUUUAAAUUUUUAAAUUUGAAAUUUAAAAUUUGAAAUUUGAAAUUUGAAAUUUAAAAUUUAAAAUUUAAAAUUUAAAAUUUAAAUUUAAGAUAAAAUCUAAAAUUUGACAUUUUUUAUUUCAAAAUUUCAAAUUUAAAAUUUAAAAUUUAAAAUUACAAGUUUUAAUAUUCAAAUUAUAAAUUUUAAAAUUUUAAAAUUAAAAUUUUAAAUUUUUAAAAUUUAAGAUUUAAAUAUUCAAAUUUUAAAUUUUAGAUUUAAUUUUAAAUUUUAAAUUUUAUAUUUCAAAUUUUAAAAUUUAAAUUUAAAUCUAAAAUUUUAAAAUUGAAUAUUUCAAAUUUCAAAUUUGAAAAUUGAAAUUUAAACUUUGAAAUUUAAAAAAUUAAAUUUAGAUUUAAAAAUUCAAAUUUUAAAUUCACUUUUAUAUUAAAAUACCAAAUUUUAAAUUUUGUACAAUUUUGAAAUUUAAAAAAUUUAAUUUUAAUUCAAAUUUAAAUUAUUUUAAAUUAUAAUUUAAUAAUAAUAUUAAUUUAUGCAAAUAUCAAAAAUUUUUUGUAAAACAGUUUUAUAAAAUUACUUCAGAAAAAUCGUUUUUAUCUAAACUCAGCCAAACGCUUGAUAGCUUUUAAUCAAAAGUAUUUCUCCAAACCAAAAUCAAUUUUAUAGAAAUUAUUUUUCAAGAAUCUAGGCCAAACGGGCCCUAUAUUUAGUGAUUAACAUUUUAAAAUUAAAACUUCUUUUGAAUGUGAACUUAUAAAUUCUGAUUUGAUAUAUUUAUAUUUAGCCUCUGAUAACUGCUGCCGCAAGCUUAAAUGAAUGUAGAUGAGAUCGCAAAAGGGAAGCUGCUUCUCUUUUAAGAAAGGAAAAAAGAAGAAAACAAUCAAAAGAGAUCUCAAAACUACUACAGGUAGAUGAGCUGCCUGAAGAAUUUACUAAACAUUCCGGUAGGCGACGGAAUAUUUUCAAUAAUUCAAGAACUUUAGAAAGUAGUCAUUUUGAAAAUUGAAGUAGAGAUUCGAUAUCCUUUUAUAUCUUUUGUCCCUGAGGAAAUGAGGGGAGAGAAAUUAAUAUAUUUGUGUAAUUUUUCUUAUAUGUCAUAUUUAUUUGUUUUCAAUUUGCUUGACUUCUUAAAAACUAAUCCUGACAUGCGAGAUUUGUGCUGAAUUGAAACAGUUGAACCUCUUAUACAUGUAAAAACAUUUAAGUACACUCUUUAUAGAAAUAGUAGCUGACAUAUUACCAAGUAAAUUUCCAUCUGAUUGUUUGUUACUCUUGCUCGGAAAUGUUAGGGAGUUGAGAAGAAGAAUCAAAGCUUGACUGUCUUACAGAAAUUGGCUCUUCUGACGAGAAGAAUGGCUUCAGUGGCAUUUCAAGGCUAUUGACGUCUGCUUCGAGCAUCUCCACAACUUCACUCAUGGCGGGGCGAUCUGACGGGAUCAGCUGAAUACACCACAAGCCAAUGAUGCACAGCUUUCUCUUCAUCACCGUGAUUUCGAAAGAGCAGUUGAUUUCAAGCAUUUCUGGUUGAGUUAGCCGGUCAUAUAUCCGCGAAGGAUAAUAAAACUGGCUUGAAUUCUCUGCCGGCAAUCAACAUUCCUCCGACCUCCCACCAUCUCCAUCAGCAGCAUCCCGAAGCAAUAGACAUCGGACUUGUAAGAUAUUAUGCCGAAGUUCCUCGAAAUCAAUUCUAGAGCUAUGUAUUCUAUAGUCCUUUUGGCAGCAUUGAUUGAGAUGCGGCUAUAGUCCAUUGGAUACAACUUUACCAUGAGAACUAAAAUUUUUGGAGUGAAAUUAAGGUCUAGGAGGAUGUUGAAAUCUUUCCCAAAUGAGCCAGGAAGGCUAUUUGGGAUAAACAUGAAUUUCUGCGUAUCAAGUUUGUUUGCUCUAAAUAUAAACAUACAGAAAAAGUACCACAUUAUAUUGAUUUGGAAGCAUGCUGUUUACUUAAUAGAUGCAAGUUGAGGGUUGAUGAGUAAAUAAAUUGAGAUUUUCUUUCACUACUGUAUCAGGCCUGUGCUACUCAGUCUCAACAGAUACAGUAUGUAUGUCCAUAUAUGGAGUGCACAGUUUCCUUCAUUACACCUGUCGGAACACACAGGAAACAGAGCUGCUUUCUUAUCUGGGAUAAGAAAUUGANUAUGUCAUAUUUAUUUGUUUUCAAUUUGCUUGACUUCUUCCAAAACUAAUCCUGAAAUGCGAGAUGUGUGCUGAAUUGAAACAGUUGAACCUUGCAUAUGUUUGAAUCAGAGAAUGGCCAGAAUCAGUAAAGAACUUUUCAGUUGCGUUAAAGAGAUUAAAAAGAUCCUUCAUCCUUUUCGAGAAAGGGAUGAGUCAUCACUGUUUUUGCUGAAAGUUUGGACAAAGUUCGAACAAUAUUUUCUUAGUUUAAAACCUGUAGUCAAUUUCAUUUUGGUAUGAAUGACUAUGUGCCCUACUCUCUUACAAUUGGUGAAAUGUUUUACCUUAUUAACUCGCAGAACUUCAUACUAUAACAACCCUCCACCUCUUGGCUCCGGGCAUGGGCCCACUCACCGAUUGGAGCCUGAGCCUCCUUCCAGACUCACGCCCCCUGGACUCGAGUCCCACCGUCCAGCCCGCUCCCGGACUUGCUGGCUUGUGCGGGGGCAUCCGGGUUUCGGGUCUAGCACAGCACCCUCCUGGACGGGCCGACUCGCGCAUAGGCCACCCCUCUCAAGGCCAUCUCCUCCUCCUUGACAGCCCCCUUCCCUCACGUGGCGAGGAUUUUUCAGUUCUGGACCAGGACUCUGGUCUGCGUUCUCCUGGCGACGUGCUCGACUAUUCAAUACACCCUGAACCGGCGCGACUUGACCCUAUGAAGGCGGACUCCUCGACUACUAUCAGAUCAAGCACGCGGCUACAGGGUCUACAACCGGUCUCUACUCUCUGCAAGGCCAUGCGCAGGAAGGCUAGACUACUCGAGGGCGCGACUCCUGGACCCGAGACCAAGGCGCGCAAAUUGACUAGAAAGCGCGUCAAGUCGAAGAGUCUACUGUGCGGGGUGGAUCUCAAUGAUGCCGAAGCCUCGGAGCUUCGCAGGUUCAUACGCGCGGGGGCGUAGCUCGUUGGCUCUGGCUCCUAUCCGUGUCUAAGUUUAUCUUUUUAGUGUGUGUCGCUCUCUCUCAUGCUUAACAUCUUGUGUUGGAACGUUCGCGGUCUCAACGACCCCGCUAAGCGUCGUUGCGUUAGGUCGGUCGUCUCAAAAUAUUUCUGCUCUGUCGUCUGUAUCCAAGAAUCCAAAGUAGAUUCUGUGUCCCGGUCGUUCCUCCGUUCUAGUUGCGGCUCUAGUUUUGACAGGUGUCAUUUUGUUCCCGCAACCGGGGCUUCUGGAGGCUUAAUUACCUGUUGGAGUUCUAGAUUUUUCUUCUGCGAUGUGGCUUUGGUGCGUAAUCACUCACUAACUCUCAACCUGACUCACCGCGCGAGUGGGAAAUCCUUCUUUAUCACGAAUGUCUACGGACCCCCGACUUGGGACGGCAAAGAUGAGUUUUGCUCCGAACUUCUCUCCCUCAGCAGUACCUGUUCUUCCAAUUGGGUUAUAUGCGGAGAUUUUAAUUUUACUAAGAACCAAUCUGAAAGAAAAGGAAAGCCUUGGAGCUCCAAAGCGAUGGCCAUGUUCUCUGAUCUCAUUAAUAGUCUCGCGGUUAUUGACUUACCUUUGUCUAAUCAAAUGUUCACCUGGUCUAAUAUGCAACACUGCCCUACCCUGGCCAAGCUCGACAGGUUUCUCGUCUCGACAGAAUGGGAUCAAUCUUUUCCCUUCAGCAAGGUCAAAGCUCUCCCCAAAAUCACUUCUGAUCAUAAUCCAAUAGUACUCGAAACGGGGUCGCCACCUGCCCCGCGAAGGUUUCGUUUCGAGAGGGUUUGGCUCACUAGGGAGGACUUUACUUCAAAAGUGCCCCUCUGGUGGAAUGAAACUGCCGGUAAGAACUCAGCCAUCUUAUCUAUCUCUGCCAAGCUCCGACAUUGCAGAGUCCGGAUAAAAGAAUGGUGCAAGAAUCACUUCCACAGCAUUUCCAAAGCUAAAAGUCAAUUACAAUCAGAACUCCAAGCUAUUGACCAACUUGAGGAAUUGCAGAACCUACCCCAAGAAACCUUGGAUAAGCGAGCAGAACUCAAGUCACAGCUCCUCCUAAUACUUGAGGAGGAAGAAAUCUUGUGGAAAACUAGGGCUAAACAGCGUUGGUUGAAGGAAGGCGAUGGCAACACCAAAUUCUUCCAUGCUGUCGCUAAUGGUCGCAAGCGCUCUAACACAAUCGUCGCCAUUGAGGAUGACACCGGACAGCAGAUAACCAAUGAAGAGCUUAAGAGAUCGUACUUCUACCAAUCUUUUAAGCGAGUGUUUGGAAAUCAAGUGGAUGGUCCUUCGUCUUUCGGUGACUGGAGCGGCCUCUACCAUUCCAACAGACUACUUGAUCCCGACUCCCUAACGACACCAUUUACCCUCGAUGAAGUCAAAACUGCCACCUUCCAACUAGGUUGCGACAAGGCGCCCGGGCCGGAUGGCUUUCCACUUGUUUUCUUUCAAACCUUCUGGGAUGUGGUCAAGGACGAUAUCUUCAAGGUCUUUUCUGAGCUCCACGAUGGCACACUUUUCACGGGCCCGACAGACUAUGCCUUUGUCUGUCUCGUCCCAAAAUAGGAAGGCGCGCGCAAAGCUAGGGACUUUCGACCUAUAAGCCUCAUGAAUGGAAUUCAAAAAAUUAUCUCCAAGGUCUUGGCUAACAGACUAGCAAUUAAACUGCCGUCCAUUAUCUCUUCAACGCAAUCGGCCUUCCUCAAAGACCGACUGUUGACAGACUCGUUCGUCACUGCAAGCGAAUUAGUAAAUUGGUGCUCUAAAUCUGGCAGGGAGUGCUCAAGCGUCAAGGUCGACUUCGAGAAAGCUUUCGACAAUGUCAGAUGGUCUUUCCUUAAAUGUAUCAUGCACUGGCUAGGUUUCAGGGAUAAAUGGUGGGCGUGGAUCGAGCAAUGUAUCUGCAACGCCAAAGUAGCCAUUCUAGUCAACGAUGUCCCGACCCAAUGGUUGAAACCUAAAAAGGGGCUCCGGCAGGGGGACCCUCUCUCUCCGUACCUCUUCUUAUUGGUGGCCGACUGUUUAGCCAGACUCACUGAAACCGCGAGGAGAAACAAUCAGCUACAAGGCAUCGGACCAACCCCUNUGGCUUGAAUUCUCCGCUCGAGGGUCAGCAUUUCUUCUUCCUCCCGCCAUCUCCAUCAGUAGCAUUC